rnacentral:rRNA from 13 species
UCUGGUGACGAUGGCGAGAAGGUCACACCCGUUCCCAUACCGAACACGGAAGUUAAGCUUCUCAGCGCCGAUGGUAGUUGGGGGUUUCCCCCUGUGAGAGUAGGACGUCGCCGGGC